rnacentral:rRNA from 1 species
GGAGUUUGGACCGUGUCUCAGUUCCAAUGUGGCCGAUCACCCUCUCAGGUCGGCUACUGAUCGUCGCCUUGGUGAGCCGUUACCUCACCAACUAACUAAUCAGACGCAGGCCCAUCCUUCACCGAUAAAUCUUUGACCGGAUCAACAUGUGAUGUCCCGGUGUCAUCAGGUUUUAAUCCCGGUUUCCCGAGGCUAUCCCUGUGUGAAGGGCAGGUUGCCUACGCGUUACUCACCCGUCCGCCGCUUUCCGCCUGCAAAAUCAACCGAAGCGUCAAUUGCAGGUUUCUCGCUCGACUUGCAUGUGUUAGGCACGCCGCCAGCGUUCAUC